rnacentral:tRNA from 1 species
GGGGCUGUGGCUCAGCGGUAGAGUGCUUGCCUCGCAUGUGAGAAGCCCUGGGUUUGAUUCUCAGCCCUA